AUCCACUUCAAGGUUCAGUGGUUUGUUGACAGAUGAUAUCCCGCCCACUGUUUGCACCACUUUAGUUACAUUACAUGUAUCUUGAGCCGUAUGUGUCUUCUGCUGUGUCCCUCUGUUAUGCACCUCACUUUUAUGAGUAGCAUUCUCUACACUGUAUAUAGUUUUUAGCCAUUACAGGUAUCCAGUAGGCACGUUAUCCAGUGUGCCAGGGUAUUUAGGCAGCAUGUAUGUGUAAGUGUUAUGAUGGGGUCUGUUUUAUGUUUAGUUUACCCUUACCAGUGAUAACCUCAUGCGGACACCGUGUUGGUG